rnacentral:rRNA from 1 species
AGUAAUCAGGGUAAAGUCGUAACAAGGCAUCCGUAGCGGAAGCUGUGGAUGGAUCACCUCCUUUCUGGAGU